AAGGUAAAGUCGAUGAUUGGGGUGAAGUCGUAACAAGGUAGCCGUAUCGGAAGGUGCGGCUGGAUCACCUCCUUUCUAGGGAGA
rnacentral:rRNA from 1 species